rnacentral:rRNA from 1 species
UCUAGAUUAGAGUUUGAUCAUGGCUCAGAUUGAACGCUGGCGGCAGGCCUAACACAUGCAAGUCGAACGGUAGCACAGAGAGCUUGCUCUCGGGUGACGAGUGGCGGACGGGUGAGUAAUGUCUGGGAAACUGCCUGAUGGAGGGGGAUAACUACUGGAAACGGUAGCUAAUACCGCAUAACGUCGCAAGACCAAAGAGGGGGACCUUCGGGCCUCUUGCCAUCAGAUGUGCCCAGAUGGGAUUAGCUAGUAGGUGGGGUAAUGGCUCACCUAGGCGACGAUCCCUAGCUGGUCUGAGAGGAUGACCAGCCACACUGGAACUGAGACACGGUCCAGACUCCUACGGGAGGCAGCAGUGGGGAAUAUUGCACAAUGGGCGCAAGCCUGAUGCAGCCAUGCCGCGUGUAUGAAGAAGGCCUUCGGGUUGUAAAGUACUUUCAGCGGGGAGGAAGGUGUUGCGGUUAAUAACCGCAGCAAUUGACGUUACCCGCAGAAGAAGCACCGGCUAACUCCGUGCCAGCAGCCGCGGUAAUACGGAGGGUGCAAGCGUUAAUCGGAAUUACUGGGCGUAAAGCGCACGCAGGCGGUCUGUCAAGUCGGAUGUGAAAUCCCCGGGCUCAACCUGGGAACUGCAUUCGAAACUGGCAGGCUAGAGUCUUGUAGAGGGGGGUAGAAUUCCAGGUGUAGCGGUGAAAUGCGUAGAGAUCUGGAGGAAUAUACCCGGUGGCGAAGGCGGCCCCCUGGACAAAGACUGACGCUCAGGUGCGAAAGCGUGGGGAGCAAACAGGGAUUAGAUACCCUGGUAGUCACGCCGUAAACGAUGUCGACUUGGAGGUUGUGCCCUUGAGGCGUGGCUUCCGGAGCUAACGCGUUAAGUCGACCGCCUGGGGAGUACGGCCGCAAGGUUAAAACUCAAAUGAAUUGACGGGGGCCCGCACAAGCGAUGGAGCAUGUGGUUUAAUUCGAUGCAACGCGAAGAACCUUACCUACUCUUGACAUCCAGAGAACUUUCCAGAGAUGGAUUGGUGCCUUCGGGAACUCUGAGACAGGUGCUGCAUGGCUGUCGUCAGCUUGUGUUGUGAAAUGUUGGGUUAAGUCCCGUAACGAGCGCAACCCUUAUCCUUUGUUGCCAGCGGUCCGGCCGGGAACUCAAAGGAGACUGCCAGUGAUAAACUGGAGGAAGGUGGGGAUGACGUCAAGUCAUCAUGGCCCUUACGAGUAGGGCUACACACGUGCUACAAUGGCGCAUACAAAGAGAAGCGAACUCGCGAGAGCAAGCGGACCUCAUAAAGUGCGUCGUAGUCCGGAUUGGAGUCUGCAACUCGACUCCAUGAAGUCGGAAUCGCUAGUAAUCGUAGAUCAGAAUGCUACGGUGAAUACGUUCCCGGGCCUUGUACACACCGCCCGUCACACCAUGGGAGUGGGUUGCAAAAGAAGUAGGUAGCUUAACCUUCGGGAGGGCGCUUACCACUUUGUGAUUCAUGACUGGGGUGAAGUCGUAACAAGGUAACCGUAGGGGAACCUGUGGCUGGAUCACCUCUU